CAAUGAUUUAACUCAAUUAAAGUCUGUGGGAGGGCUCAGCUUCACAUCAUGAGGCAAACACAGGAUGAGUAACUGAUAUAAGACCGAACAGCACUUUCCUUGUGCCUUUUGUCUUUAGAGUGGCGGGAGGUGGAUGAUAUUCCUGCAUCGACAUGGUAAUGCUGGAGCUGGGAAGACUGUGGCUAUCUGGGGAGAGGUGGGGAUUCACCUUCAAAAAAAAAAAAUAAAAAAGAUUGUUCCUGUUCUGGUGAAGGACUUGAGUGCCGAUGCAGCUCUAAGCAUGGGAGGAAGUUACGUGUGUUUCAUGAGAUGGCUCACCUUUAAAAUUAAACUAC
ensembl:lncRNA